CAUUACUAUCAAAAUGUGAUCACAGGCUUUGCUGCUAAGCUUACACCGGAAGAAGCCAAAGCAAUGGAGAAGAAGGAAGGGUUUGUGUCAGCAAGAGUCGAGAGAUCCUUGUCUCUACAUACUACUCACACUCCCGAGUUCUUAGGUCUGCUGCAAAAUCAAGGGAGCUAUUGGAGCUCUGCACAUUUCGGUAGAGGAGUGAUCAUUGGUGUUAUUGAUAGUGGCAUCAAGCAUGAUCACCCUUCGUUUGGUGAUGAAGGGAUGCCUCCACCUCCUGCAAGAUGGAAAGGUAAGUGUGAGUUCAACGGGAAGAAGACUUGUAACAACAAGCUUAUAGGUGCUAGAAGCUUUGUUUCUCAAGGGGAUAUCCCGUCGGAAGAUACUCUCCAUGGGACUCAUACUGCUGGAGAAGCUGGUGGGAUUCCUGUGGAAGGUGCCAAUGUGUUUGGACAAGCUAACGGAACUGCGAUGGGUAUCGCACCGUUUGCCCACUUGGCGAUGUACAAGGUUUGUGGAACUAAUUCUGAAUGCAUGGAGAGUACGGUAUUGGCAGCAAUUGAUGCUGCUAUAGAUGAUGGUGUUGAUGUGCUUUCAAUGUCACUUGCACUUCAAUAUGAUAAUUUGUAUGAUGAUGUUAUUGCAUUGGGUGCAUUUAGAGCCAUUCAAAAUGGAAUAUUUGUUAGCUGCUCAGCUGGCAACUUAGGACCAAAUAGCUCUUCUUUAGUAAAUGUGGCACCUUGGAUUCUAACCGUUGGAGCAAGUACCAUUGAUAGGGAUAUCAGGUCAACAGUGACAUUAGGCAAUAACGCGCAAUUUCAUGGCCAAUCGAGUUUCCAGCCUAAGGACUUUCUUCAACAGCAAUUACCGAUCGUUGAUGCUGGUGCGAGUAUCAAUGCAUCAACAGCAUUUUGUGAAGAAGGGUCACUGAAGAACAUUGAUGUCAGAGGAAAGAUUGUUCUGUGCCAGGUGAGAAGUGUCAAUCGGAGCAUCAUUCGAGGAAUUGAAGUCAAGGAAAAUGGUGGAGCAGCCAUGAUAUUGAUCAAUGGCUUAGAACAGGGCUGCACUACUCAAGCUGAAGCCCAUGUCCUUCCUGCAUCAAACGUCAAUUACAAAGACGGAUUGGCAAUCAAAGCUUACUUGAACUCCACGUCAUCCCCAUCUGCAACAAUCUCAUUCCAAGGUACUUUGUUCGGAAAGUUGAGUGCUCCACAAGUAGCCUCGUUCUCGUCAAGAGGUCCCAGCAAACAAUGCCCCGGGAUCCUGAAACCUGACAUCAUUGGUCCUGGAGUGAGCAUUUUAGGUGCUUGGGCAUACUCGGUGGACAAUUCUACCAAUUCAUUCAAUAUAGUCUCGGGAACUUCGAUGUCUUGCCCACAUCUUAGCGGUGUUGCAGCUGUAAUCAAGGCAAUGCAUCCAGAUUGGUCACCUGCUGCCAUAAAGUCAGCAAUUUUAACCACUGCUUACACAGUUGACCUUAGUGGCAAGCCAAUCUCCAAUGAGCAGAAUUCUCCUGCUACUGCCUUUGAUAUGGGUGCUGGCCAUGUGAACCCACCAAAAGCUUUGGAUCCAGGUUUGAUAUAUGAUAUCCAACCAGAUGAUUACGCUGCGUAUAUCUGCAGUUUGGGUUACAAUGACGCACAAGUAAGAAUGAUCGUGCAGUGGAAAGUGAAGUGCUCGAACGAAUCUUCCAUACCCGGUGCUCAACUGAACUACCCUACAUUUUAUGUCUCUCUGGGUUCUAGUCCACAAACACAUACCAGAACAGUCACCAAUAUUGGCACGCAUAACUCGACUUACAGCAGCAAGGUAUUCCCACCAGAAGGUGUCGAUGUUAAAGUCGAGCCAAGUGAGUUUAAGUUCAACGAGCUGAAAGAGAAAGCAACGUAUUCGAUAACAUUCAACAGGGUCGGAAAUGCGACAGGAACUAUGAGCCAAGGUUCCUUGGUGUGGUCAUCUACUGAUGAUAGGUACAAAGUUGUGAGCACAAUUGCUGUGGUAUUUGUUUGAUGUAUAAGGAAUCUACGCCUAUCCGCUAGUAAGGGUUAAAAUGAAGCUUAAUAUUCUAGGGAUUUCAAUCUGUUGCUGCUAUAAAUAAAUAAUGUUGUUAUUAUGUAAUUACAAGUACGUGGUAUAGAGUUAAUGCCUCCGCAAUUCCAUGGAUCACUUCACGGUAUUGCAGUGCUCUCUCGACAGAACCACCAAAUCUCGAGUUACGGGUUACGAACAAUCAAAACCCUUAAAAAUAUUUCUUAACUUUAUUUUGCUAUUAUUUGAAGGAAUUAACCGGGUAAAACCUCAAAUUUUAGUCAUUCCUAACAUGCAUAUCAAAUAUUAACCAAUGUAAAAAUGGUCAAUUUUCAUGUAAAAAUGGUCAAAAUUUGACCAUUUUCACAAGAAAAUUUCAAAAUUUUCAAAUCGGCUAAUAUUUGACAUGCAUGUUGGAAAUGACUAAAAAUCAAAUUUUGCUUUGAUAACCCAUGUAAAUAAUCAUCGAAUGAAGUUAAAAAUCAACUUUACUUGGUGUUUUGUUAGUGUUGAACAUUUUCAAAUUGGCUUACGUUAUGGGUGUUGAGCCAUCGUUACAUGAAUUUUAUUUUAUUAACUUUGACCAUACACAAUUUUGUGGGAACCAAAANNNNNNNNNNNNNNNNNNNNNNNNNNNNNNNNNNNNNNNNNNNNNNNNNNNNNNNNNNNNNNNNNNNNNNNAUACUUUUUUUACUUAUUUUAUUAAUAUUAAAUAGUCUAAUGUUGUAUAUAUCAUACAAAAAAUGAAAAGAUUCCAUCGUGGCCAGGACUUAAAUUCGGGCCUUUCAUGUAAGAGCCAAAUAUCCUGACCAACUAAACUACAACGGAUUUGCUUGGCAUCCUUACUUUUUCCUAAACAAACUAGAAAAUAAACCUUAGUACUCUUGCGUUUCGAUUGUGGCUAAGUGCCUCACUAUUUUAAAUAGUAAUCCUAUGUUAUGUUUGGCGAUAGGAAUUAUGAUUUCUAGGAAAGUUGAAUUAAAAUAGUACAAAAUAGUUGAGUUGAGGUUGAAAGGAAUUGAGAAAAAAGUGCUAAAUUCAAAGGAUACGAAAGAUUCCUAAAAAAGUUUAUUUUCCCAUGAAAUAGAUUGAGAAACACGAUUCCAAUUGAAAUCCUUAUUUCCUUUGAUUCAAGUUUCCAUCCACAAUAUUUUUUUACUCCAACUCAAUUUUUUUAAACUAAUCUCAAUUCAACUUUCCUAGGAAUCAUGAUUUCUAUUGCCAAACAUAGGCUUAGUAACUCGUUAGUUUCUCGAAAUUUGAUCAUACCUAGUACCCUUGCGAUUUUCCCGUGCCUUACUGCCUCGCACGAUUGCAGUUCGAGAUCUUAGUACCUCACAUUCCGUUCCUACUACUCCGUGCCUCGCAGUUUGUUCGUGGCUUAGUGCCUCACACUUUCAUCAUGGCUCUAGUGGCUCGUGGUUUGUUCAUGGCUUAACGCCCCGCAUGUUGACCGUGGAUGUGACCUUCGUGUUAUAAUGAACACUGUGCUUGGCUACUGCAUCGUAGUUUUUCUGCAACGCUUGCUUGGUUAGAUCUUUACUUUCAGUGCUUAAACGUUGUGCUUUCAGAUUUCUCCAUCUCAGAAGUUUGAUUUGACAAGAAAAAAUCACACUUAGUUUUCCCUCACACGUCGAAGCUUACAAUGAAAGGUGCAACUGGCGGGGUUAAAGACAAUCUGCUAAAGAAAAUCUGCAACUUGUUUCUUGGAAACAAUGUAAAUGGAAAUCUUAUCCUUAUGCUACAUCAACGGAAUACCACCACAAGAUGGAGAGAUAAUCCAUUUUGGAAGUUCAUGACUGAUACAAUAACUCUAAUUAGUACUAUCAAGUAAAAGGAAGUUUAGCAGUUUCACCAUAGUUACACACAAAGAAACAUGAAAGCCUUACUUCUCAUCACAUUCUUCUUCUUCUUCUUCUCCUUACAAGAAGCAUCAGCUUCUGGAAAAAGCAACUUAGACACUUACAUUGUGUUUCUACAGAAACCAGAGAGCCUAGUAUCCACACAAUCAACUGAUUUUGAUUUAUAUUGCUGGUACCAAACAUUCCUUCCUGAAACUGUAUUAAGCUCAAGUGAAGAACAGCGCAUGGUGCAUUCAUAUCGAAAUGCGAUCACCGGCUUUGCUGCUAAGCUUACACCAGAAGAAGCAAAAGCAAUGGAGCAGAAGGAAGGGUUCGUGUCAGCAAGACUUGAGAGAACAUUGUCUCUACAUACAACUCACACUCCCAACUUCCUGGGUCUCCAUCUAGGAGCUGGUUGGAACUCUUCAAAUCUAGGAGAAGGAGUGAUCAUAGGUAUGAUUGACAGUGGCAUCAAAUAUGAUCAUCCUUCGUUUUGUGACCAAGGUAUGCCUCCACCUCCUGCAAAAUGGAAA
rnacentral:lncRNA from 1 species